GAUGAACGCUGGCGGCGUGCCUAAUACAUGCAAGUCGAGCGAACAGACGAGGAUCUUGCUCCUCUGACGUUAGCGGCGGACGGGUGAGUAACACGUGGAUAACCUACCUAUAAGACUGGGAUAACUUCGGGAAACCGGAGCUAAUACCGGAUAAUAUAUUGAACCGCAUGGUUCAAUAGUGAAAGCGGGUUUUGCUGUCCCUUAUAGAUGGAUCCGCGCCGCAUUAGCUAGUUGGUACGGUAACGGCUUACCAAGGCAACGAUGCGUAGCCGACCUGAGAGCGUGAAGGGCGACACUGGAAGUGAGACACGGUACAGAGUCCUACGGGAGGCAGCAGCAGGGAAUCGUGGGCAAAGGGCGGAAGCCUGACGGAGCAGCGCAGCGUGAGUGAUGAAGGUCCUCGGAUCGUAAAACUCUGUUAUUGGGGAAGAACGAAUGUGUAAGUAACGAUGCACGUCGUGACGGUACCUAAUCAGAAAGCCACGGCUAACUACGUG
rnacentral:rRNA from 1 species